rnacentral:rRNA from 1 species
UAACUUAAAGGGAAUUGACGGAAGGGCACCACCAGGGGUGGAGCCUGCGGCUUAAUUUGACUCAACACGGGGAAACUCACCAGGUCCAGACACAAUGAGGAUUGACAGAUUGAGAGCUCUUUCUUGAUUUUGUGGGUGGUGGUGCAUGGCCGUUCUUAGUUGGUGGAGUGAUUUGUCUGCUUAAUUGCGAUAACGAACGAGACCUUAACCUGCUAAAUAGCCUGUAUUGCUUUGGCAGUACACCGGCUUCUUAGAGGGACUAUCGGCUCAAGCCGAUGGAAGUUUGAGGCAAUAACAGGGCUGUGAUGCC